GAUGAACGCUGGCGGCGUGCCUAAUACAUGCAAGUCGAGCGAACAGAUGAGGAGCUUGCUCCUCUGACGUUAGCGGCGGACGGGUGAGUAACACGUGGAUAACCUACCUAUAAGACUGGGAUAACUUCGGGAAACCGGAGCUAAUACCGGAUAAUAUAUUGAACCGCAUGGUUCAAUAGUGAAAGACGGUUUUGCUGUCACUUAUAGAUGGAUCCGCGCCGCAUUAGCUAGUUGGUAAGGUAACGGCUUACCAAGGCAACGAUGCGUAGCCGACCUGAGAGGGUGAUCGGCCACACUGGAACUGGGACACGGUCCAGACUCCUACGGGAGGCAGCAGUAGGGAAUCUUCCGCAAUGGGCGAAAGCCUGACGGAGCAACGCCGCGUGAGUGAUGAAGGCCUUCGGAUCGUAAAACUCUGUUAUUAGGGAAGAACAAAUGUGUAAGUAACUAUGCACGUCUUGACGGUACCUAAUCAGAAAGCCACGGCUAACUACGUG
rnacentral:rRNA from 1 species